rnacentral:rRNA from 1 species
AUAGUUCAAUACACGUUUGACAAGAUGAAUGCGUACUUUCUAAAGUACUCGAUGGAAACGGAUGCACAGAUAGCAGGUGAGAACAAUCACAAGUACAAGUACAAGUUCCCACCCAAGGUUGAUGAAUGGUUGGAAUUUCAAUCACGGAAGGCGGACUCACAAGAAGCUAUACUAUAUGACAACGAAGAGUGGAAGUACGAAGUGAAAGAGCCAGGAGGAACCACAAACGUUGGCCACCAACAUGGAGGUCGGGCUUUCAAGGUGUCGUUAACACGUUGUGAUUGCUCUUGCGGGAGGCCAUUGUUGCUUCAUCUCCCAUGCUCACACUUGUAUACCACCAGUCGCGUUAGGAAUGUGGACGACAAUCACCCACUCACCGUGAGGGAGUCGGAGUUCUCAAUCAUGAUGGUCAAGAAAACAUGGGCUCCCCGCUUUCACCCAUACUUUGACCAAUCACAAUGGCCGGAGUACCAUGGAGUUCAACUAUGGCCGGAUCUGGAGUUGAAGGUUGUUAAACGGGGUAGAUGUAAGACAAAGCGUCUUAGAGGCGACAUGGACGGAUGGGGCCAUGGUAGCUGCCGCGAAGCGGGCAACGGCCAAUUCCAAGAGCCUCGUGAGAGCUCCCGUUGUGGGGAAUGCAAAGGUCAUGGCCACAACAAAAGAAAAUGUACGAAACCAAGGAAAAGGUCCAAGAAAAAUGAUGCAAGCACAAGCCAACAAGGAGCUACGCAAGGGGGCCAACAAGUGUCAAGCCAACCAAGUGGUAGCCAACAAGUGCCAAGGCAACCAAGUGGUAGCCAACAAGUGCCAAGCCAACCAAGUGGUAGCCAACAAGUGCCAAGCCAACCAAGUGGUAGCCAAAGAGGAUCUAGGCAACAAAGAGGGCAGCAACUAGGACUUACAAGAGGCCGUGGUGGUGGUAGAGCUCGUGGUGGUGGUCUAGGCCGUGGUGGUGGUGUUGGACGUGAUGAUGGUCUUGGCCUUGGUGGUGGACUUGGCCGUGGUGGUGGUCAAGGGCAAGGUCGUUAUAGAGGAAUGUUUGGAUACCUCUGA